UGAGGAAUUGUUCGCAAUGGGCGCAAGCCUGACGACGCAACGCCGCGUGGAGGACGAAGAUCUUCGGGUCGUAAACUCCUGUCGAGCGGGAAGAACGGCCCGCGGGUUAAUACCCCGCGGGCGUGACGGUACCGCUAGAGGAAGCCCCGGCUAACUCCGUGCCAGCAGCCGCGGUAAUACGGGGGGGGCUAGCGUUGUUCGGAAUUACUGGGCGUAAAGGGCUCGUAGGCGGCCAGCUAAGUCGGUUGUGAAAUCCCUCGGCUCAACCGGGGAACUGCGACCGAUACUGGUUGGCUUGAAGUCGGGAGAGGGAUGCGGAAUUCCAGGUGUAGCGGUGAAAUGCGUAGAUAUCUGGAGGAACACCCGUGGCGAAGGCGGCAUCCUGGACCGAUCUUGACGCUGAGGAGCGAAAGCCAGGGUAGCAAACGGG
rnacentral:rRNA from 2 species